rnacentral:rRNA from 1 species
AUUGAACGCUGGCGGCAGGCUUAACACAUGCAAGUCGAGCGGGGAAGGGUAGCUUGCUACCUGACCUAGCGGCGGACGGGUGAGUAAUGCUUAGGAAUCUGCCUAUUAGUGGGGGACAACAUUCCGAAAGGAAUGCUAAUACCGCAUACGCCCUACGGGGGAAAGCAGGGGAUCUUCGGACCUUGCGCUAAUAGAUGAGCCUAAGUCAGAUUAGCUAGUUGGUGGGGUAAAGGCCUACCAAGGCGACGAUCUGUAGCGGGUCUGAGAGGAUGAUCCGCCACACUGGGACUGAGACACGGCCCAGACUCCUACGGGAGGCAGCAGUGGGGAAUAUUGGACAAUGGGCGCAAGCCUGAUCUAGCCAUGCCGCGUGUGUGAAGAAGGCCUUUUGGUUGUAAAGCACUUUAAGCGAGGAGGAGGCUACUGGUAUUAAUACUACCGGAUAGUGGACGUUACUCGCAGAAUAAGCACCGGCUAACUCUGUGCCAGCCGCCGCGGUAACAC